UACGAAGGGGGCUAGCGUUGUUCGGAAUCACUGGGCGUAAAGCGCACGUAGGCGGAUCUUUAAGUCAGGGGUGAAAUCCCGAGGCUCAACCUCGGAACUGCCUUUGAUACUGGGGAUCUCGAGUCCGGGAGAGGUGAGUGGAACUGCGAGUGUAGAGGUGAAAUUCGUAGAUAUUCGCAAGAACACCAGUGGCGAAGGCGACUACCUGGCCUGUUCUUGACGCUGAGGCGCGAAAGCUAGGGGAGCAAACGGG
rnacentral:rRNA from 1 species